UACAGCCUCUAGUAGUUUUUGUUGAAUAAUAUGGCAGAACCUACAAAUAAUGUAAUAGGAAGCUAACGGUUUUUUGGUGUGCACGCCCUCCGACAUAGUGCGAUUGAGGGAAGCCUAAAAGAAAAUCACAAAGCUACCACUUUUUUGGAAGUGGGUUUCUCCUAUCUUAGAAAAUUACAAGAGGCCUCUU
rnacentral:other from 1 species